rnacentral:rRNA from 1 species
CAGCAGCCGCGGGAAUACGAAGGGGGCUAGCGUUGCUCGGAAUUACUGGGCGUAAAGGGAGCGUAGGCGGAUGAAUUAGUCAGGGGUGAAAUCCCGGGGCUCAACCUCGGAACUGCCUUCGAUACUGUUCAUCUUGAGUAUGGGAGAGGUGUGUGGAACUCCGAGUGUAGAGGUGAAAUUCGUAGAUAUUCGGAGGAACACCAGUGGCGAAGGCGGCUCACUGGUCCAUUACUGACGCUGAGGUGCGAAAGCGUGGGGAGCAAACAGGAUUAGAUACCCCUGUAGUCCCUGUCUCUUAUAC